rnacentral:rRNA from 1 species
AACGAACGCUGGCGGCAUGCCUAACACAUGCAAGUCGAACGAGACCUUCGGGUCUAGUGGCGCACGGGUGCGUAACGCGUGGGAACCUGCCCUUAGGUUCGGAAUAACUCCCCGAAAGGGGUGCUAAUACCGGAUAAUGUCUUCGGACCAAAGAUUUAUCGCCUUUGGAUGGGCCCGCGUUGGAUUAGCUAGUUGGUAGGGUAAAAGCCUACCAAGGCGACGAUCCAUAGCUGGUCUGAGAGGAUGAUCAGCCACACUGGGACUGAGACACGGCCCAGACUCCUACGGGAAGCAGCAGUGGGGAAUAUUGGACAAUGGGCGAAAGCCUGAUCCAGCAAUGCCGCGUGAGUGAUGAAGGCCUUAGGGUUGUAAAGCCCUUUUACCCGGGAUGUUAAUGACAGUACCGGGAGAAUAAGCUCCGGCUAACUCCGUG